GAUGAACGCUAGCGGAAGGCAUAAUACAUGCAAGCCGAACGGAUGUAGCAAUACAUUAGUGGCGCACGGGUGCGUAACGCGUAUGCAACCUACCUUCAUCAGGGGGAUAACUACUCGAAAGGGUGGCUAAAACCGCAUAAUACUACUGAAUGCCAUCAUUUGGUAUUUAAAUCUGAGGAGGAUGAAGAUGGGCAGGCGUCUGAUUAGCUAGUUGGUGUGGUAACGGCGCACCAAGGCGACGAUCCGUAGGGGAACUGAGAGGUUGGUCCCCCACACUGGCACUGAGAUACGUGCCAGACUCCUACGGGAGGCAGCAGAAGGGAAUAUUGGUCAAUGAUGGUAACACUGAACCAACCAUUACGCGUAGAGGGAGAAGGGCCUCUGACUUGUAAACUGCUUUAGCAAGGGAAGAAAAAGCUCAUGCGUGGGAAAUUGACGGUACCUUGAGAAGAAGCACCGGCUAACUACGUGCCAGCCGCCGCCGUAA
rnacentral:rRNA from 1 species